GGAUGUCUGGUCGUACAGGAAAGGGCAGGGGCGACUCCCCACUCUUCAAAACCCUAGAACUUCACUAAUCUUGCAAAUUGAAGGUCCAAUUCAGUCCAAAAUCGAAAUUUAAGCAUGGAUUAUUGAUCCUCAUCACAAGAGGAUUAAAAGUUUGAUCUCGUCAAGCUAAGUGGGAGCUGGAAAGGCAUGGAUCAAACGGAUCAUGGAUGCGAAGAAUGUUUGCGCGGACGCGAGGGUAAAACGGCUUAUGGAAUUUACGUGGCUAUGAAUCAGCAAAUUAUUAAGGCAAGGUAUUAAAACGGGUCAAUACUUUGACCCGCGCCAGGUACGCGUAAAUUUGGUGAAAGAUAUGUGAAUACCUUAAUGUAGAAAAAUGACAUGUGAAAGUAGAGAGUAGGAUUUAAACUUAAAUGAUUAAAUCCUCUCUAACGGGUCAAAAUAAGAACUUGAACGUAAAUGGGUUCUAACUAAGUAAGAAACCCAUGAUUUAUGAUUUAUUUGAUAGGAAAUAUUGAAAUUAUGAUUUUCAUGAGUUUAUAGAGCAAGUAAACAUGUUUGUUUGAUAAAAUCGCGAACGGGUUAAAAUUUGGUAAAAAUGGUAUUAAGCCGAAGACUUAAAAGUCUUAAAUUUUGUUAAUUCGGAUGUUGGAUUUUGACCCCAUACUAUGAAGGGUCAAAUUACAAUCAUGUAGGAAGAAACGGUGGGUCAAACGGAUAAGCGGUUUGAAAGAUACGAAAGUUUUCGUGCCAAUAAACGGCAAAAUAGGAAAGCUGGAAUGCAGGGGCCACCGUAACUUACGGUGACACCGUAAGUUACGGUGGAGUUGAAGGCUUUACGGCAGCCCCCUACUGAUUUACGGUAGGGGCAUGUCACACCAGGGGCCACCGUAACUUACGGUGCCACCGUAAGUUACGGUGGAGGCCAGUUGGGAAAUCCAUGUUUUGAGAUCAAGAGUUUAACGUUGGGAAUUCUUUUUCCUUCCAUUAUCAUUACCGGAUUUGUUUAGAUUUAUUUCAAUCCCCGUAUGACUAAAGCAUUUCAUGUUUAUGAAAUGUAGGUUCAUUUUGGAUGCCGAGAGACGAUCAAGCUCAUCGAAGAACCGAACACGAUAUAGUUACAUGCUUCCGCACUUUGCCACGUUGUAUAUUUUAAACAACGAAUUCGAUCACGUUUUGUAGAAUAACUUAUGAAUUGUAAAAGUUUUAAUUUACUCGAAGUUUUUUUAAGGAUACUUA
rnacentral:lncRNA from 1 species